AUUGGCCACAAAGCAUUUCCGACCUGAUUUCAUUCUUGGCGAGGGUGGAUUUGGAGUUGUUUAUAAGGGUGUCAUAAACAAAAGCAUAAGACCUGGUUAUGAGACCAUGGUUGUUGCCAUCAAAGAGCUUAAUCCUGAUGGGUUACAAGGUGACAGAGAAUGGCUGGCAGAAGUCAACUAUUUAGGUCAAUUUAGUCACCCAAAUCUUGUGAAGCUUAUUGGGUAUUGCUGUGAAGAUGAGCACAGGCUAUUGGUCUAUGAAUACAUGGCAAGUGGGAGUUUAGAGAAACAUCUUUUUCGUAGAGUGGGUUGCACUUUGACUUGGUCAAAAAGACUGAAGAUUGCUUUAGAUGCCGCAAAAGGACUUGCUUUUCUUCAUGGUGCAGAAAGAUCUAUCAUAUAUCGUGAUUUCAAGACAUCAAACAUCCUACUAGAUGGGGACUUCAAUGCAAAGCUUUCAGACUUUGGACUGGCGAAGGAUGGACCAAUAGGAGACCAGACACAUGUGUCAACACGUGUCAACGCGGGUAAUGGGUACAUAUGGAUAUGCUGCACCUGAAUAUGUAAUGACUGGGCAUUUAACUGCUCGGAGUGAUGUUUAUGGUUUUGGAGUAGUGCUGCUUGAAUUGCUUCUCGGACAGAGGGCCUUAGACAAGGGUAGACCUAGCCGAGAACACAACCUGGUUGAGUGGGCCCGGCCACUUUUGAACCACAAUAAGAAGGUUCUAAGGAUCUUAGAUCCUAGAAUGGAAGGGCAGUAUUCAGUUAAAACUGCAAAGAAAGUAACCAAUUUGGCAUACCAAUGCCUUAGCCAAAAUCCAAAAGGGAGACCUCUGAUGUGCCAGGUGGUUGAAUUACUGGAAGGUGUUCAGUCGAAGGAUGAAGAUGAAAUGUUUCAAAGCAAUGAGAAAGGUGUUACUCUUUACGAUGAUUCAGGGCUUUCCUCCUGUACUCCAGAGACAAGAAAACCAGGUACAGGUAAUGGAAGGUGCAAACCGGCAAAUGGAAGAAGCAACAGCAAGCCCUCAACCGAGUGUGAUCUUUAUAACCCUUGCUCCGAUUUUGCAGUCUCGAGUCCAGUGAGAAGCUAGCAUCAUAUCAUUGAACUUUUAUCAAUAUGGAUGGAAGCUGAAAUUGUAAGAAAUGUAUCAAAUAUUCACCUUAUUCCCGUUCCCUUUCUAAAACAAAUUUAUUUCAAACGAGUGCCUUCUAUAAUUACAUACAAAGUACAAUGUCUGUCUUAUUAACCAUUAGAUUAUAAUACUAUAAAAUCU
rnacentral:misc_RNA from 1 species